GGCUUACAAUAAACUGAUUCCCCUUGACACACUGCAUACAUGUAACAUUUGCUUUAUUUUAUUAUCCUGAUCAGCUUUCAAGUCAUAGAAGGAAAAGGUGGAGAAAGACACACGCAGUCACUUCAUUGCAAGGACAAGUACAGAGACUUGCGGCCACCUGAAAAAGAAGCAUUUCUACUUCGUCUGUCACCGGUCUGGAAGUUAUGCUUCACAAGCUACAAGUAAACAAAAGCUGAAGCGGCCUUCAAGUGUCAAGUGUGGAAAAAGAUGUUUUGCGGCAAUGGCUGUGACUGAAGACAACACAGGUGUGUAUGUGGUUUUCCAAUUCAAGCACAGAGGCCACGACUUUGAACUGGGUCGUGUUUUUCUGUCCAAGUCGGAAAGAGCUGCUAUUGCUGACAAGCUGCGAGAAGGCGUGUCCAUGGAUGCAGUGCAGUACUGGAUAAUGUGCGGUCCAACGUGGAUGAGACAUUCCACCGCAUUAACCUGUUAAGCAAGCAGGAUCUCCGCAAAAUAAUGAGGGAUGCCAGAGUCUCGAAGACCGAGCGGCUGCACGAUAAUGACUAUGUGAGCGUGCAACUCUGGGUUGAGAGGAUGCAUAGUGAAAAGGAAAACCCAUUGCUCUUCUUUAAACACCAAGGACAACCUGACAAAAAGUGACAUUUUUUUAGAGAAAAAAAUGAGGACCUUUUGGAUGACAGAGAUUUUAUGCUAGUCAUCAUGACCACACCACAACAGGAGCUUUUCAAGAGGCUUGGAACUGAUCGUAUAUGUGUCGAUGGAACACAUGGAACAGCAGGUAAAGAUUUAAAAGAAAUAACGCCUAUAGCAAGCUCCGUUUGUUAUGGACUUCGAGCAUGGUCUAAGGCAAACGGCCUCAUCCUCAAUGAAACCAAAACAAAGUGCGUUAUUUUUCAUGCUCUGGGAAGUUCUACUACAUUGCCAGAUAAUAUUGUGUGGGGUCUGUA